rnacentral:lncRNA from 1 species
CAUUUUGAUGUUUCAUUUAUUGCUAUUUAUUGCAUUCAGCAUGUCUCAAUCAACCAGAGAUUUUCCAGGAAAAAGCCAACAACAAUAGGAGAAUGGUAUGUCUUGACAGUUGGGCUGUUCAGUUUUGCUGCUUGUUACCUGCAUGGACGUCUGCCCAGUGAGCAAAGCGUGAACCUUCUGAUGUGGCUUUUGCAGCUUCUAGGCUUGGUCUUUGGUAUUUAUUUUGGCGUUGCUAUCCCCCAGGAGGCCUAUGUGAGAAACAUCUGAGAACGAGGAAGGCUCAGGAGCAGCUGAGAUGCUCCACAGACCUGGUGAGAUAAAAAUCUGUUAGAAGUUUCACAUGAAAUCAUAUUUGAACCUCAGCUUAGAUUUAUAAAAUACAACCCACAUUGCAAAGUUUUAAGUGGCAAGCCUG